GUUGUAGCAGCACCUUGUUGAGUUGACUACUUGUUGAGUUGAGUCAACUGUUAAUGCAGCUGCAGCAAUAAUGUUCAUAAAACAACAUUUAGGACUGAACUCAAGGGCGGAAGAAAAUAAAACUGGAGAUGGAGAAAGAACACAAGAUAAAGCAGAGGCAGAUGACAGAGGCGGCGACGGCUCUCCCUUUUCAUACGCCAGUCAAAACAUCCCCGAGGCUCUGCUGCAGCCCGGACAUGCUGAGUUGGAGCUGCAAAGUUGGCCGAUGAGCUGCUGAGGAGGAUCUGAGGGUCGUGAUCAAGGAAGUGCAUUGCUCAAGUUCUCUGGAGGCUCUCACGUGUCCGAGCUGGACAAGAGCUGAAGUCUCACCUUAGUCUUCAGAUAUGGAGGCACUGACACCAGGCAGGUCGGGCCAGGUGACACAAACUCCAUUUAUAUUUGGACAGCAGCACUGAAACACUAAAACACAAGUGUCUAUGAAAGUAUACAGGUUGUACAUUUUGUAACUUAGAAACACGGUGUUGUGUAAUGUGUCUCAUUUAUGGAGGCACUAUUUUUGAACGUGUUGAGACUACACUGUAGAGCUGUUUGCUGCUUAAUUGUGUAAUUUAACAGAAGUUUUACAGAUUGCUACUUUUACUUAUAGUUACAUGCAAUUGCCAUACACAUAGAUACGGAGGCCCUGAGAGGCAAGUGAGACAAGAGAUUCUGGUGAUCCAUUUUCUAACUCUGAUCCAAAAUGUUUUCUGUCCUGUUUAUUACUUAAGGAAAGGGGGUUUGCCAGUAUCAUUUUUCAAAAUUAUUUUUUUCAUCUGUGCUUGCUGUGUCUGUUGUAAUACUCAUUUCGGCCACAGGAGGCUGAAGUGCCCCAUGUUCUAAAUAGGACUAAAAGCAUUUGUUUUCUUCCAGGUGAGUUUUAACACACAAUAUACAGUAUGUAUCUUGUGUUUGUAUAUAUCUUGUGUUUAGAGUGUAUUUGAGGAGAAAAAAAACCUCACCUGGAAUAAAUAAUAAUAAAUCAUCCUAUAAGUGUUUAUCCUCCAUUAGAGCCCAUUUCACAUGUGACA